GCCCGGCUGGCUCAGUUGGUAGAGCAUGAGACUCCUAAUCUCAGGGUUGCGGGUUCGAGCCCCACGUUGGGCA